rnacentral:lncRNA from 1 species
CUUAAUAGUGCUGGCUGCCUAAUUAUUAAAUUAAAAAAAAGGCAUAAAAAGCAACCCUAUCCGGUUCGGCUCGAAAAGGCCCGAGCCGAAAGCUCGAGUCGAAUCUAAUUUUUAUGGUCGAACUUUUACUCGGUUCGGCUCGGACUCGAAAAAAAAUCAGCACAUUUUACCCAAGCCCGAGCCAAGAGUUUCGACUUGUAAGCUGACUCGACUCGACUCGUUGACAUCGUACCACCACCUCCACACACAACUCCAACCACCGCCACUUACUAGAUUCCACUAUUUCUUCCGGCCAUCGCCAUCACCGACCACCACACAUAUCAUCGCUGCCACCCCCAAAAACUUUUUGCUCCAACUACCACCCACCACCUUCACCUGCAACUCCAAUCAACAAUCGCACUACUACAACCAUCGCCUACUAAAAUCCAUCAUUUCUUCCAACAUUACCAUACCCAUAGAAAUCACGCAAUCACAUAUCAGAAAACCACCCUCCCAAAACGGUGCCACGCAGCGUUGGAGAGAAGUCACCGGAGAAGAGAAUUAAUGUUGAAUAAAGAGAGAUCGUUCGAGUCGCCGUCGAAAAAAUGUGACGCAUCUCAAGUUAGCAACCAUUUGGAAAAUCCCCAAACGACCGCACCACCACACUAACCAGAG